rnacentral:rRNA from 1 species
CCUACGGGAGGCAGCAGUGGGGAAUAUUGGACAAUGGGCGAAAGCCUGAUCCAGCCAUGCCGCGUGUGUGAAGAAGGCCUUCGGGUUGUAAAGCACUUUCAGUGGGGAAGAAAGCCUUGGGGCUAAUACCCUCGAGGAAGGACAUCACCCACAGAAGAAGCACCGGCUAACUCCGUGCCAGCAGCCGCGGUAAUACGGAGGUGCGAGCGUUAAUCGGAAUUACUGGGCGUAAAGCGCGCGUAGGCGGUCUGAUAAGCCGGUUGUGAAAGCCCCGGGCUCAACCUGGGAACGGCAUCCGGACCUGUCAGGCUAGAGUGCAGGAGAGGAAGGUAGAAUUCCCGGUGUAGCGGUGAAAUGCGUAGAGAUCGGGAGGAAUACCAGUGGCGAAGGCGGCCUUCUGGACUGACACUGACGCUGAGGUGCGAAAGCGUGGGUAGCAAACAGGAUUAGAUACCCGAGUAGUC